CCUUUAUGGCCCAGGGCUACACACGUGCUACAAUGGGUGGUACAAAGGGUUGCUACCUAGCGAUAGGAUGCUAAUCUCAAAAAGCCGAUCGUAGUCCGGAUUGGAGUCUGCAACUCGACUCCAUGAAGUCGGAAUCGCUAGUAAUCGCGGAUCAGAAUGCCGCGGUGAAUACGUUCCCGGGCCUU
rnacentral:rRNA from 1 species